AUUGAACGCUGGCGGCAUGCCUUACACAUGCAAGUCGAACGGCAGCACGGGUGCUUGCCCCUGGUGGCGAGUGGCGAACGGGUGAGUAAUACAUCGGAACAUGUCCUGUAGUGGGGGAUAGCCCGGCGAAAGCCGGAUUAAUACCGCAUACGAUCUACGGAUGAAAGCGGGGGACCUUCGGGCCUCGCGCUAUAGGGUUGGCCGAUGGCUGAUUAGCUAGUUGGUGGGGUAAAGGCCUACCAAGGCGACGAUCAGUAGCUGGUCUGAGAGGACGACCAGCCACACUGGGACUGAGACACGGCCCAGACUCCUAAGGGAGGCAGCAGUGGGGAAUUUUGGACAAUGGGCGAAAGCCUGAUCCAGCAAUGCCGCGUGUGUGAAGAAGGCCUUCGGGUUGUAAAGCACUUUUGUCCGGAAAGAAAUCCUUGGCCCUAAUACGGUCGGGGGAUGACGGUACCGGAAGAAUAAGCACCGGCUAACUACGUG
rnacentral:rRNA from 1 species